rnacentral:tRNA from 1 species
GCUCGGAUGGUGGAAUAGGUAGACACGUGGGACUUAAAAUCCCAUGGACAGCGAUGUUCGUACGGGUUCGAUUCCCGUUCCGAGUA